rnacentral:rRNA from 1 species
UACGGAGGGGGCUAGCGUUGUUCGGAAUUACUGGGCGUAAAGCGCGCGUAGGCGGAUCUGCAAGUCGGGGGCUCAACCCUCGGAUGCCGGUGGAUACUGUCGGGCUAGAGUGCGGAAGAGGCGAGUGGAAUUCCUGGUGUAGCGGUGAAAUGCGCAGAUAUCAGGAGGAACACCAAUUGCGAAGGCAGCUCGCUGGGACGUGACUGACGCUGAGACGCGAAAGCGUGGGGAGCAAACAGG